rnacentral:rRNA from 1 species
UACGGAGGGUGCAAACGUUGCUCGGAAUCAUUGGGCGUAAAGCGCACGUAGGCGGUUUGUUAUGUCGGAUGUGAAAGCCCUCGGCUUAACCGAGGAAGUGCAUCCGAAACUGGCAAGCUUGAGUACAGAAGAGGUCUCGGAAUUCCCGGUGUAGAGGUGAAAUUCGUAGAUAUCGGGAGGAACACCAGUGGCGAAGGCGGAGACCUGGGCCGUGAGUAUUGACGCUGAGGUGACGAAAGGCGUGGGGAGCAAACAGG